rnacentral:rRNA from 1 species
CCUACGGGAGGCAGCAGUGAGGAAUAUUGGUCAAUGGCCGGGAGGCUGAACCAGCCAAGUCGCGUGAGGGAAGACGGCCCUACGGGUUGUAAACCUCUUUUGUCAGGGAGCAAGGUGCAGGUCGGGACCUGCUGUGAGAGUACCUGAAGAAAAAGCAUCGGCUAACUCCGUGCCAGCAGCCGCGGUAAUACGGAGGAUUCGAGCGUUAUCCGGAUUUAUUGGGUUUAAAGGGGGCGCAGGCGGAGGCACAAGUCAGCGGUAAAAUCGCGGGGCUCAACCCCGCUCCGCCGUUGAAACUGUGGCCCUUGAGUGCGCGAAGGGUAGGCGGAAUGCGUGGUGUAGCGGUGAAAUGCAUAGAUAUCACGCAGAACUCCGAUCGCGAAGGCAGCCUACCGGCGCGCAACUGACGCUCAUGCACGAAAGCGUGGGUAUCGAACAGGAUUAGAUACCCUGGUAGUC